rnacentral:rRNA from 1 species
AUUGAACGCUGGCGGCAGGCUUAACACAUGCAAGUCGAGCGGGGUGCUGGUGCUUGCACUAUCACUUAGCGGCGGACGGGUGAGUACUGCUUAGGAAUCUGCCUAUUAGUGGUGGACAACAUCUCGAAAGGGAUGCUAAUACCGCAUACGUCCUACGGGAGAAAGCAGGGGGUCACUUGUGACCUUGCGCUAAUAGAUGAGCCUAAGUCGGAUUAGCUAGUUGGUGGGGUAAAGGCAUACCAAGGCGACGAUCUGUAGCGGGUCUGAGAGGAUGAUCCGCCACACUGGGACUGAGACACGGCCCAGAAUCCUACGGGAGGGAGCAGUGGGGAAUAUUGGACAAUGGGGGGAACCCUGAUCCAGCCAUGCCGCGUGUGUGAAGAAGGCCUUAUGGUCGUAAAGCACUUUAAGCGAGGAGGAGGCUCUUUUGGUUAAUACCCAAGAUGAGUGGACGUUACUCGCAGAAUAAGCACCGGCUAACUCUGUGCCAGCAGCCGCCGUAA